rnacentral:lncRNA from 1 species
UUUUCUAAACACCCUGACGAUUCUGGAGGUUCCAGACCCAAAGCCAAGGAGGGGAACAGCUGUAAUCAGAGUUGCUGAAUUACCAACAUCUGAAAAACUUAAGAAUGAUACCAAAACAACAUCUAUAAUGAUUCAUUUAUCUCUAACAUAAAUUUCUUAUGUAAAAUAAUUCCACUCCUUUUUAUAACAGUUUGUUCUUUUAACUAAACUAUCAGAAUAUUCAAUACAAAUUCUGUGGAUAAAGUAACACUUUUGGUAAAGGUUCUUCUCCAAGCAUAAAAAAUUGAUAAUUGGUUCACUUUCCUCUUUUUGGUUACAUAGAAUUUAAU